UACGUAGGGUGCGAGCGUUUGUCCGGAAUUACUGGGCGUAAAGAGCUCGUAGGUGGUUUGUCGCGUUGUUCGUGAAAACUCACAACUCAAUUGUGGGCGUGCGGGCGAUACGGGCAGACUGGAGUACUGCAGGGGAGACUGGAAUUCCUGGUGUAGCGGUGAAAUGCGCAGAUAUCAGGAGGAACACCGGUGGGCGAAGGCGGGGUCUCUGGGCCGAUACUGACGUGAGGAGCGAAAAGCGUGGGGAGCGAACAGG
rnacentral:rRNA from 1 species